GAAAAUACUGUUGGGGACAGUGGCAGGCAUGAACAAUCUGACAGCACAGGUCGGAUAUCUAAAGGCAAGUCUAAAAGGAGUUCUGAUUUGGAGUGCUUAGAAGAGAAAUCUGAUCAUACCAAGAGAUUAAAAUCAGAAAGCUUAGCUCAACAACCAGUUUCUGGUAAUUGGGGAGCCCAAUUACAGAGUCCUCACAGUCUAUCUCCUAGUAAACUCAACAGAGAU
rnacentral:misc_RNA from 1 species